rnacentral:rRNA from 1 species
GACGGAGGAUGCAAGUGUUAUCCGGCAUCACUGGGCGUAAAGCGUCUGUAGGUGGUUUAAUAAGUCAACUGUUAAAUCUUGAGGCUCAACCUCAAAAUCGCAGUCGAAACUAUUAGGCUAGAGUAUAGUAGGGGUAAAGGGAAUUUCCAGUGGAGCGGUGAAAUGCGUAGAGAUUGGAAAGAACACCGAUGGCGAAGGCACUUUACUGGGCUAUUACUAACACUCAGAGACGAAAGCUAGGGUAGCAAAUGGG